UACGGGGGGGCAAGCGUUGUUCGGAAUUACUGGGCGUAAAGGGCUCGUAGGUGGCCAACUAAGUCAGACGUGAAAUCCCUCGGCUUAACCGGGGAACUGCGUCUGAUACUGGAUGGCUUGAGUUCGGGAGAGGGAUGCGGAAUUCCAGGUGUAGCGGUGAAAUGCGUAGAUAUCGGGAGGAACACCAGUGGCGAAGGCGACUACCUGGCCUGUUCUUGACGCUGAGGCGCGAAAGCUAGGGGAGCAAACGGG
rnacentral:rRNA from 1 species